CCGGUGCGGGAUGAAGGCUUCGGGUUGUAAACCGCUGUCAGUGGGAAGGAAAUACCGGUGAGUUAUCUCAUCGGCUUGACUGACCCGCAGAGGAAGUGUGGGCUAAGUUCGUGCCAGCAGCCGCGGUAAGACGUACCACACAAACGUUAUUCGGAAUCACUGGGCUUACAGGGUGCGUAGGCUGUGCAGCAAGUGGGGUGUGAAAUCCUACGGCUUAACCGUAGAACUGCGCUCCAAACUGCUGUGCUUGAGGGAGAUAGAGGUGAGCGGAACUUACGGUGGAGCGGUGAAAUGCGUUGAUAUCGUAAGGAACACCGGUGGCGAAAGCGGCUCACUGGAUCUCUUCUGACGCUGAGGCACGAAAGCUAGGGGAGCGAACGGGAUUAGAUACCCCGGUAGUCCUAGCCGUAAACUAUGAGCACUGGAUUGAAGGGCCCUCCAUAGCCUUUCAGUCGCAGAGAAAUUGUUAAGUGCUCCGACUGAGGAGUAUGGUCGCAAGGCUGAAACUCAAAGGAAUUGACGGGGGCUCACACAAGCGGUGGCGGAUGUGGCUUAAUCCGAGGCUACGCGAAGACACUUAUCCUAGUCUUGACAUGCACGGAU
rnacentral:rRNA from 1 species